GUUGUAUGGUUAAGUGACUAAGCGUACACGGUGGAUGCCUUGGCAGUUGGAGGCGAUGAAGGACGUAUUAACUUGCGAUAAGCUUAGUCGAGCUAGUAAAAAGCACUUGAGACUAAGAUUUCCGAAUGGGGAAACCCACCUGUUUACAGGUAUCGUUAACUGAAUACAUAGGUUAACGAGGCGAACGCGGAGAACUGAAACAUCUAAGUACCCGUAGGAAAAGAAAUCAACCGAGAUUCCGGAAGUAGCGGCGAGCGAAACCGGAACAGCCCUUAAGCUUAUUUGUGAUUAGUGGAAUGCUCUGGAAAGUGCAGCGACACAGGGUGAUAGCCCCGUACAUGAAAAUCUAUAGUAAGUGAAAUCGAGUAGGUCGGGACACGUGUUAUCUUGACUGAAUAUAGGGGGACCAUCCUCUAAGGCUAAAUACUCCCAACUGACCGAUAGUGAACCAGUACCGUGAGGGAAAGGCGAAAAGAACCCCUGUGAGGGGAGUGAAAUAGAACCUGAAACCGUGUACGUACAAGCAGUAGGAGCAUACUUGUUAUGUGACUGCGUACCUUUUGUAUAAUGGGUCAGCGACUUAUAUUUUGUAGCGAGGUUAACCAAUUAGGGGAGCCGUAGGGAAACCGAGUCUUAACUGGGCGUAUAGUUGCAAGGUAUAGACCCGAAACCCGGUGAUCUAGCCAUGGGCAGGUUGAAGGUUGAGUAACAUCAACUGGAGGACCGAACCCACUAACGUUGAAAAGUUAGGGGAUGACUUGUGGCUAGGAGUGAAAGGCUAAUCAAACCGGGAGAUAGCUGGUUCUCCCCGAAAUCUAUUUAGGUAGAGCCUCGGACGAAUACUUACGGGGGUAGAGCACUGUUAAGGCUAGGGGGUCAUCCCGACUUACCAACCCUUUGCAAACUCCGAAUACCGUAAAGUAMUAUCCGGGAGACACACGGCGGGUGCUAACGUCCGUCGUGAAGAGGGAAACAACCCAGACCGCCAGCUAAGGUCCCAAAGUGUAUGUUAAGUGGGAAACGAUGUGGAAAGGCCCAGACAGCCAGGAGGUUGGCUUAGAAGCAGCCAUCCUUUAAAGAAAGCGUAAUAGCUCACUGGUCGAGUCGGUCUGCGCGGAAGAUGUAACGGGGCUAAACAUACCACCGAAGCUGCGGCUGCAUACUUAUGUAUGCGGGGUAGGGGAGCGUUCUGUAAGCCGUUGAAGGUGAACCGGGAGGUUUGCUGGAGGUAUCAGAAGUGCGAAUGCUGACAUGAGUAACGAUAAUGCGGGUGAAAAACCCGCACGCCGGAAGACCAAGGGUUCCUAUCCCAUGUUAAUCAGGGUAGGGUGAGUCGACCCCUAAGGCGAGGCGGAAACGCGUAGUCGAUGGGAAACGGGUUAAUAUUCCCGUACUCGGCAUGAAUGCGAUGGGGAGACGGAGCAGGCUAGGCAAGCAUGGCGUUGGUUGUCCAUGUGAAAGUAAGUAGGUUGAGAACUUAGGCAAAUCCGGGUUCUUAAGACUGAGAUACGAGACGAGUCACUACGGUGAUGAAGUUGUUGAUGCCAUACUUCCAGGAAAAUCCUCUAAGCUUCAGUUCAUGCUGAAUCGUACCCCAAACCGACACAGGUGGUCAGGUAGAGAAUACUAAGGCGCUUGAGAGAACUCGGGUGAAGGAACUAGGCAAAAUAGUACCGUAACUUCGGGAGAAGGUACGCUGCUGACGGUGAUAGGACUUGCUCCUUAAGCUGUUGGCAGUCACAGUAACCAGGUGGCUGGGACUGUUUAUUAAAAACACAGCACUGUGCAAAAUCGAAAGAUGACGUAUACGGUGUGACACCUGCCCGGUGCCGGAAGGUUAAUUGAUGGGGUUAUCUUCGGAGAAGCUCUUGAUCGAAGCCCCGGUAAACGGCGGCCGUAACUAUAACGGUCCUAAGGUAGCGAAAUUCCUUGUCGGGUAAGUUCCGACCUGCACGAAUGGUGUAACCAUGGCCACGCUGUCUCCACCCGAGACUCAGUGAAAUUGAAAUCGCAGUGAAGAUGCUGUGUACCCGCGGCUAGACGGAAAGACCCCGUGAACCUUUACUACAGCUUGGCACUGAACAUUGAACCUACAUGUGUAGGAUAGGUGGGAGACUUUGAAGCAGCGACGCUAGUUGUUGUGGAGUCGUCCUUGAAAUACCACCCUUGUAGUUUUGAUGUUCUAACGUAGGCCCCUAAUCGGGGUUGCGGACAGUGCCUGGUGGGUAGUUUGACUGGGGCGGUCUCCUCCCAAAGAGUAACGGAGGAGCACGAAGGUUUGCUAAGUACGGUCGGACAUCGUACGGUUAGUGUAAUGG
rnacentral:rRNA from 1 species